AGUGUGGUGGCCGAGCGGUUAAGGCGUUGGACUUAAGUUCCAAUGGACAUUAGUCCUCUAGGGUUCAAAUCCCAUCCGCACUA
rnacentral:tRNA from 1 species